GACGUCAAGUCAUCAUGCCCCUUAUGUCCAGAGCUUCACACAUGCUACAAUGGCCGGUACAGAGGGCUGCGAUACCGUGAGGUGGAGCGAAUCCCUUAAAGCCGGUCUCAGUUCGGAUCGGGGUCUGCAACUCGACCCCGUGAAGUUGGAGUCGCUAGUAAUCGCAGAUCAGCAACGCUGCGGUGAAUACGUUCCCGGGCCUUGUACACACCGCCCGUCACGUCAUGAAAGUCGGUAACACCCGAAGCCGGUGGCCUAACCCUUGUGGAGGGAGCCGUCGAAGGUGGGAUUGGCGAUUGGGACGAAGUCGUAACAAGGUAGCCGUACCGGAAGGUGCGGCUGGAUCACCUCCUU
rnacentral:rRNA from 1 species